rnacentral:rRNA from 1 species
AACAAACGCUGGCGGCAUGCCUAACACAUGCAAGUCGAACGAGACCUUCGGGUCUAGUGGCGCACGGGCGCGUAACGCGUGGGAACCUGCCCUUAGGUUCGGAAUAACUCCCCGAAAGGGUGCUAAUACCGGAUAAUGUCUUCGGACCAAAGAUUUAUCGCCUUUGGAUGGGCCCGCGUUGGAUUAGCUAGUUGGUAGGGUAAAAGCCUACCAAGGCGACGAUCCAUAGCUGGUCUGAGAGGAUGAUCAGCCACACUGGGACUGAGACACGGCCCAGACUCCUACGGGAGGCAGCAGUGGGGAAUAUUGGACAAUGGGCGAAAGCCUGAUCCAGCAAUGCCGCGUGAGUGAUGAAGGCCUUAGGGUUGUAAAGCUCUUUUACCCGGGAUGAUAAUGACAGUACCGGGAGAAUAAGCUCCGGCUAACUCCGUG